CAACAAAAUUGAGUUUUAAUAGCAUAAUUUUACAGCAUUCUUUUAAAAAUGCUAUAAUAGAGUUGCAUCUUGUGGUUAACAUAGCGUGCACUACACUGUAGGGAAGCGGAACACUUUUGACAGCGCUCCAUUAACUCGGUUACAGCGUUCUCCCAAAGUUAAAACGCCAAAAUCAAAUCCCUUCUCUCCAAUUUCAUACCUACUCUGCAAUUCCAAUUUCUCUGCCGAUCUCACCAACGUCCGUCUCUCUCUCUCUCUCUCUCUCGUGCGCUCUCUAUCUCUCUCUCUCUCUCUCUCACAUACACACACACACACACGAAGAGAGGAGAGCAAAGGAAUGGCGUGAUUCAAAGCCACUGCCUUCACCAAUCGAGCACCAGCGGUACCACCGUCCAGCCUCGAUCCCGUCAUCUCCUAGCCCAUCGCUUGUCUGACCUCGACCAGAACUCGAGUUUUCAAUUUGGGUUAUCGAUUUUGGGAUUUCAAUUUUGAGGGUUUCGCAAAAUUUUCUUUGGUGUUUGGAGGCAAUCACUUGAUGAGGCUGCAGAACCAAGUUUUCUAGAUCUAUUUUCUUCUCUGCCAUUUGACGGUUCUUGAUUCUUCCAUUUGAAUUGAUGAUUUCUAGCAGGUGCUGGUUUUCGGCCAUGGCCUCCGGUCACGAUUUCCGGCAGCGGAGAGUUGUCUGUUUUUCCUAAAUCUUUGGAGACCGGUUUGGGCAACCACAUGGAUAGCAUGCACAACCACACGGAUUGCAUGAACAAUAUAUUAGGGUAGAACAAACAUGCUUGUUCUGUUUUCCUUUCAUUCUCUUUCUACAAGAAGAAAGUAGUAUUUUCAAUGUGCGAGGGUGUGGUGAGAGCCAUUUGUAUGGAACUGAAGGUCCAUUAUGUUACUUGAAGAAUGGAACUGUUGUUCGUUGGAGUCCUGCCCUUUGCAAGGAAGAAGUAUGCUCUAGACUUGUUCUUAUCAUCUCUCCUAU